CGCGUAGGCGGUUUGAUAAGUCAGAUGUGAAAGCCCACGGCUUAACUGUGGAAGUGCAUUUGAUACUGUCAGACUUGAGGUACCAGAGGGAAAGUGGAAUUCCCGGUGUAGAGGUGAAAUUCGUAGAUAUCGGGAGGAAUACCGGUGGCGAAGGCGACUUUCUGGCUGGAUACUGACGCUGAGGCGCGAAAGCGUGGGGAGCAAACA
rnacentral:rRNA from 1 species